GAAAGUACCUGACUGGAGAGUUGGACAAGAAGUUUUGUUAAAGAAUAAUGUUAAGAUAGGGAGAUGCAAGAUGCAGGAUGAGUGGUAUAGUGAAAGGUGGAUAAUAGAUGAAGUAUUAGAUGCUAAAAAUGGACUUUACAAAAUAAAAUCAUGCGAUGAAAAGCAAGUCAGGGUCGAGAAUAGGUGUAAUUUAAGAGCGGCACCAAAACUGCAACCAUGUGAGGUAAAAUCCAAGUUAGAAGAGGACAGCUCUGCAGCUGAUGCUUCCCCACGGCGAUUGCGUAAUAGAAUAGUAGGAGACAAUAAGGGAUAGGGAAAGUGAGGAUGACAUGCUAGGGAAAGGUGAAAGCAGGGUUCUAUCCUGAACGAGGAUUGGCGUCCUCUGCCUUACUUGAGCUAAAUCUAUCUUUUCUCUUUUACUAUAUCUACUACUAUUAUCUUUAGUGUAAGGGAAAGGUGAAAGCAGGGUUCUAUCCUGAACGAGGAUUGGCGUCCUCUGCCUUACUUGAGCUAAGUCUUUCUUUUCUCUUUUACUAUAUCUACUACUCCUAUUUUUAGUGUAAGGGAAGGUGAAAGCAGGGUUCUAUCCUGAACGAGGAUUGGCGUCCUCUGCCUUACUUGAGCUAAAUCUAUCUUUCUUUAAGACUAUGCCUACUCCUUCCAUCUUCAUUAGUGUCUAGGAUACGGUGAAGGGAUAUUUAUUUUGGGGUGAUGGGAAAUGUAAAAUAAUUAUAUAGAAUUUAUAUGAAGCAGCAGAAGUGUAUAUUUUGUCAUGACUGAAGCGAAUGUGUUGAAUUGGAUAAUGAGCAACGGAAUGAUAGUGAAGAGACUGUGAAUGCGAAAAGCUAUAAUCGCUUCGGGAGUAAGAGAACGGAGGUGAAGAUCUUGUAUGAGGUAGGAAUGACUGGACUGACGCCGAGCUCCGAACCUGGAAGUGGUAAGAACUGUUAUGGAACUGACGCCAGGGAAGGAUAGUGUAGGAAGUGGUAGGUCCCCGAUAGGAGAGGGAUGGGAAAGACAGAAGGAAAGAAAGGAUUAGGAAAGAUGAACCGGUGACAAGAUUGAUGGGAAUGUGCAUCCUUACACCAGACUCGACUCUUAAAGGAAUGGUAUAUCUUAUGCAGUUUCCACACUGUUUAUUCAGGCUGGGUAAGGGGAAGAUGCUGUG